GACCUGGAGGGCGGCCGGGGGGCGUGGCUUGCGAGUGUUUUGGUUGUAAAGGAGCCGAGGCGCUUGUACUACCGCUAGCCCCGCGCAGGUCCCCGCCGCGCCGCCCGGCAGGAGCUGCAUCAUCUUGAGCAAAUGACUUGAUCUUUUAAAGCAUCAGUUCCCUCAUGUCCACCAUUGAGAUCACGCUACUACCUGCCCCUAGGAUGGGUCAAUUUCACUGUGAUCGUUUUCUGGAAAAUUUUAUUUACCACGAUUCAUAGCAUGCACAAGUGCUCAAUUGUGAGCUUCCUGAGGACGGAGCCUACAUCUGCCUGCACGUUUGAGUCCCUUUUUAGUGUGCUGCCAGACACAGUGGGAGCUUAAGAAGUCUUUAAAAUCAACAAAAAACUACGAACCAGAGACAC